rnacentral:rRNA from 1 species
AGUGAACGCUGGCGGUAGGCCUAACACAUGCAAGUCGAACGGCAGCACAGUAAGAGCUUGCUCUUACUGGUGGCGAGUGGCGGACGGGUGAGGAAUACAUCGGCAUCUACUUUUUCGUGGGGGAUAACGUAGGGAAACUUACGCUAAUACCUCAUACGACCUACGGGUGAAAUCAGGGGAUCUUCGGACCUUGCGCGAUUGAAUGAGCCGAUGUCGGAUUAGCUAGUUGGCGGGGUAAAGGCCCACCAAGGCGACGAUCCGUAGCUGGUCUGAGAGGAUGAUCAGCCACACUGGAACUGAGACACGGUCCAGACUCCUACGGGAGGCAGCAGUGGGGAAUAUUGGACAAUGGGCGCAAGCCUGAUCCAGCCAUACCGCGUGGGUGAAGAAGGCCUUCGGGUUGUAAAGCCCUUUUGUUGGGAAAGAAAAGCAGCAGGUUAAUACCCCGCUGUUCUGACGGUACCCAAAGAAUAAGCACCGGCUAACUUCGUG